rnacentral:rRNA from 1 species
GAUGAACGCUGGCGGCGUGCCUAACACAUGCAAGUCGAGCGAACGGACGAGAAGCUUGCUCCUUUGCUGUUAGCGGCGGACGGGCGAGUAACACGUGGAUAACCUACCUAUAUGACUGGGAUAACUUCGGGAAACCGGAUCUAAUACCGGAUAAUAUUUUGUACCGCAUGGUUCAAAAGUGAAAGACGGUCUUGCUGUUACUUAUAGAUGGUUCCGCGUUGCAUUAGCUAGUUGGUAAGGUAACGGCUUACCAAGGCAACGAUGCGUAGCCGACCUGAGAGGGUGAUCGGCCACACUGGAACUGAGACACGGUCCAGACUCCUACGGGAGGCAGCAGUAGGGAAUCUUCCGCAAUGGGCGAAAGCCUGACGGAGCAACGCCGCGUGAGUGAUGAAGGUCUUCGGAUCGUAAAACUCUGUUAUUAGGAAAGAACAGAUGUGUAAGUAACUGUGCACAUCUUGACGGUACCUAAUCAGAAAGCCACGGCUAACUACGUG